rnacentral:rRNA from 1 species
UACGUAGGGUGCGAGCGUUAAUCGGAAUUACUGGGCGUAAAGCGUGCGCAGGCGGUUUGCUAAGUCCGCUGUGAAAUCCCCGGGCUCAACCUGGGAAUGGCGGUGGAAACUGGCGAGCUAGAGUGUGGCAGAGGGGGGUGGAAUUCCACGUGUAGCAGUGAAAUGCGUAGAGAUGUGGAGGAACACCAAUGGCGAAGGCAGCCCCCUGGGUUGACACUGACGCUCAGGCACGAAAGCGUGGGGAGCAAACAGG